ensembl:ncRNA F26F12.16 ncRNA
CGCAGUGAAAACAUAGACAAAGAGCUCAUUGUCUAUUCGUGCGCAUCUUUUGGCCGACGGUGUGAAAAGCCGUCCUCGACCCCAACCAGAUGUGCGUGUGCUCGUGAAGAGAGCCAUUCUAAAGAUCAGAAACCACUAGACAUUAGGA